CAGGGAAUAGUUUAAUUAGAAUUUCAGCUUUGGGUGUUGAAGGUGAGACUUAGAGUUUCUUCCUUGA
ensembl:Mt_tRNA